ACCAUGCCUGCCAGCACACAGAGUGUGCAGAGUGUGUAACAUGGAGGGCUACUUCUCUACAUACAUUCAAUGAGAAUGCCUUUGUUAUCCAAAGGUGGCCUGGAUCAAAGCAUUAAGCCUGUUACUUCAGCACUGUAGAAGAGCCUGCUUCAUCCCCUUGACAAUGCCAUCAAAGCCCAAGAGACAGUGUGAAAACUGGCACUGCACUUCUGAAGGGAAACCUCAAACAAACCAGCAAACAAGAAUUCAAAGGGCUAUGUGGAGAGAGCGAGAGACCGAAGACACAACAUGAUCGCUCGAGCGCUGUAUGAUGUAUUUGAAACACUGAGAUGGAAUAAUGCCCUUGUCAGUUGCUACAGCUCAUCUAUCAUCCUCUACUUCUUGAAUCCUUCACUGGUCUAACUGCCCAACUUCCGACUAAUUGCAAGCAAUGCAGAACGUUUGCUGAAAGGCAACUGCUGCAACAUUUUGAAGGCAGAGAACAAAGCGCUAGAUACCCUAGGAAUUGGUAUGUUUUAAAUGAACCAUAGCCAUGGGUAAAUGGUUGCUGUUUUAGAAAUCUCUUUGUUGUGCUAUUAGAGUCCUGCCAUUUUAAUAAGAUACUAAGUAAAGUUACAUUCAGAAGGCACAAAAAUUGGAGAGAGUAAAAUAAAUUGAAAAGAAAAGAAAAAAAACCCAGAGACAGAGCUAUUCUCAGGAUAGGUAAAGUGCCAGCUCUGUGUCUUUGUACUUGGGCUGUGGGCACCUUGACAGAAAUAUCCACAGCCAGUAUUGCUAUCAUUUUUACAAGGAACAAGCCUGAGAAUUAAGAUGAUAAUUGGAAGAAGCACAAUGAUCAGUACACA